AUCAGGAGGACUCGAUCUUACCGAAAUUCUAAUUCUCUUGCAGAGAUCGCUUCUUGGAUUGUCAAAUCGAUUUGAUCUUUUAAUUUUCUUCUCAAGAGAACCAAUCAGAUCUACAGGAGGAUGAUAAAAUCAGAUUACAUCUUUUUUUUUUUUUCAUUUUUUUCUUCUUAAGAAAAAUCGAAGAUCUACUGAAGAAGACAACAUA
rnacentral:lncRNA from 1 species